AACUGGAUGAUCCCAAGGAUUCCUUUACCACCCCUGUGUGUCCCUUUCUGACCCUUCCCCAGGAGUGGAGCACCCCCAGCCCUCCCUGAGGGAUGAGCACUCCCAGGGAAGAGCAGAACUUUCCCUGCUGACCUCAGGCAUUGCAGACAGACCCUACAAAGGCCUUGGGACCCGGGAUUUAAAUCCUGCAGGGAUAUCAGCCUCUCUUUUCUGGCUCCAAGGCUUUCUGAGCAGGGGAGUGGCUGCACUCGGUGCCCUGGGAACCCCGAGCACAAGCUGCAGUUUUUUAGCAUCUCUUGCAAAGUCUGAAUUUUCCCUCUGUUUUUCCCUCUGUUGCUUCCCUGCCCAUGACCUAAAUUAUGAGGAGAAGAUAUUAAAGCCUGGAUUUUAACUUAAGAGCUGACUACACCCACAGGAGAAAUUAAAGCCCAGUGUUGUUUUUUGAUUGAAGGCUGAUACCCCAAGCACAUUUCCAUGGCAGGGGGUUGGAACAAGAUGGUUUUUUAAGGUCCUACCUGGUGCUAAAAUGGGACUGAGCACAGAAGGACAGGAGGGAACAUGAACUCUACAUGAACACAAUUGCUCCUCUUCCCAAGCCCCUCUUUACGCUACUCUACCCCAGCGUAGUGACAGUGAGCUCUGGGGAGAGGUUCUAGGUUGGGAAACAGCCCUGGAAACACAAAGUCACCCAAGUCUGCAUUUCCCAUCGCUGACAUCUGGAUCAGAAAUUGCCAAUUUCCAGCCUGUGAACUGCAGGGACUGCAAAGGGACUCGGUGUGGCUGCAGAACAGUUUGGCACUGAAAGCACAGACACUGAGCUUGACCAGGAAAGCAGAGCAGGGCUGAGCUGGGAAUGAUUCCAGGGCCAUGGAGAGCUUUGUGCUGAGACCCUGCUGUGGAUGUGGGGCCGUGCCCGAGGCCCCUGGCUGCAGCACUUGCAGGGAGCACAUGGCAGGGACUCUGCCCUUCCAUCAGGAGCUGCCAUGAGCUGCAGCAGAGUAUUUUUAGCUGCUGUCCUGCUGGCUUAGGCGCUGCUGAUGUUAUGGAGUGUGGCAAGGCAGAGAACUGUGGGGUUAUUUGAGUUUCAAGGGAUCUCUUGUCUAUAAUGUGGUGUGCUCCUGCUGCGUGGAGAGGCUGGGAGCUGGGGGAGCUGGGGGAGAUGUGGGAGCUUUUGGAGUUCUAGGGGUUGUGGGAGGUGUGGGAGCUUUGGGAGACAUGGGAGAUGUGGGAGCUGUGGGAGUUGUAGGAGAUGUGGGAGCUCUGGGAGACGUGGGAGCUCUGGGAGCUCUGGGAGCUUUGGGAGAUGUGGGAGCUCUGGGAGAUGUGGGAGCU